rnacentral:rRNA from 1 species
GACGAGCGCUGGCGGCGUGCUUAACACAUGCAAGUCGAACGGAAAGGCCCAGCUUGCUGGGUGCUCGAGUGGCGAACGGGUGAGUAACACGUGGGUGAUCUGCCCCUAACUUCGGGAUAAGCUUGGGAAACUGGGUCUAAUACCGGAUAGGACAAUCGUUUAGUGUCGGUUGUGGAAAGUUUUUUCGGUUAGGGAUGAGCCCGCGGCCUAUCAGCUUGUUGGUGGGGUAAUGGCCUACCAAGGCGUCGACGGGUAGCCGGCCUGAGAGGGUGGACGGCCACAUUGGGACUGAGAUACGGCCCAGACUCCUACGGGAGGCAGCAGUGGGGAAUAUUGCACAAUGGGCGCAAGCCUGAUGCAGCGACGCCGCGUGGGGGAUGACGGCCUUCGGGUUGUAGACCUCUUUCGACAGGGACGAAGCUUUGGUGACGGUACCUGUAGAAGAAGCACCGGCUAACUACGUG